rnacentral:rRNA from 1 species
AAAUUGAAGAGUUUGAUCAUGGCUCAGAUUGAACGCUGGCGGCAGGCCUAACACAUGCAAGUCGAACGGUAGCACAGAGAGCUUGCUCUCGGGUGACGAGUGGCGGACGGGUGAGUAAUGUCUGGGAAACUGCCCGAUGGAGGGGGAUAACUACUGGAAACGGUAGCUAAUACCGCAUAACGUCGCAAGACCAAAGUGGGGGACCUUCGGGCCUCACACCAUCGGAUGUGCCCAGAUGGGAUUAGCUAGUAGGUGGGGUAACGGCUCACCUAGGCGACGAUCCCUAGCUGGUCUGAGAGGAUGACCAGCCACACUGGAACUGAGACACGGUCCAGACUCCUACGGGAGGCAGCAGUGGGGAAUAUUGCACAAUGGGCGCAAGCCUGAUGCAGCCAUGCCGCGUGUAUGAAGAAGGCCUUCGGGUUGUAAAGUACUUUCAGCGAGGAGGAAGGCGUUGUGGUUAAUAACCACAGCGAUUGACGUUACUCGCAGAAGAAGCACCGGCUAACUCCGUGCCAGCAGCCGCGGUAAUACGGAGGGUGCAAGCGUUAAUCGGAAUU